rnacentral:tRNA from 1 species
UCCCAUGUAGCUCAGCCGGUAAAGCAUCUGCUUGCAAUGCAGGAGACCCUGGUUCCAUUCCUGGGUGGGGAA